UAAAUUAUAAAUAAGGCUCAAAUUCAUCGGUUCAAAUCCGAUAAAGGGCUUUUUUCGGGUGUUCCAAACACUCUCUUUUUU
rnacentral:tRNA from 1 species